AUUGAACGCUGGCGGCAGGCUUAACACAUGCAAGUCGAGCGGAGAUGAGGUGCUUGCACCUUAUCUUAGCGGCGGACGGGUGAGUAAUGCUUAGGAAUCUGCCUAUUAGUGGGGGACAACAUUCCGAAAGGAAUGCUAAUACCGCAUACGCCCUAUGGGGGAAAGCAGGGGAUCUUCGGACCUUGCGCUAAUAGAUGAGCCUAAGUCGGAUUAGCUAGUUGGUGGGGUAAAGGCUUACCAAGGCGACGAUCUGUAGCGGGUCUGAGAGGAUGGUCCGCCACACUGGGACUGAGACACGGCCCAGACUCCUACGGGAGGUAGCAGUGGGGAAUAUUGGACAAUGGGCGGAAGCCUGAUCCAGCCAUGCCGCGUGUGUGAAGAAGGCCUUUUGGUUGUAAAGCACUUUAAGCGAGGAGGAGGCUACUUAGAUUAAUACUCUAGGAUAGUGGACGUUACUCGCAGAAUAAGCACCGGCUAACUCUGUGCCAGCCGCCGCAGUAAAAC
rnacentral:rRNA from 1 species